UUUUAUUCACUUGGCUUUUACAUGUUUGCACUUUUAUCCCUUUUAAAGUAUUCUCCAUCUGAAGCAAUGUAUUAGUCCAGGUGCGUUUUCCACUAUUUGAAGCAGUGUCAGAACUUUUGUGAAGUGAUGCCUUUUAAUGCCUCUGUCAUUUUUUGCUUCACCUCUUCUACAUCUGAAAAUUCUGAAGUGCAAGCUUU